ACACCUUAUCCCAGUUGGGUCUGCCGGCAUUGGUGCGGGUUUUCAGACCCGUGAUCAGAUCCCGCUUGCCCUGAUACUUUCAGCUGACACUCACCGCUCCAUGGCACCGCCCAGCUCUGCCUGCUCGAUCUCCAGUUGGGACAGCAGAUUGACGAACCACUCGAAGGAUCUUUGAUCCCUGUUGAUCCAGAAGAAGUCUACCUUCCGCAGAUUCAUCACAGACUUGGGUAUCUCGCUGGCCCAUUCGAAUUGGCAUCUCGGGCAACUGUGCCGGGCUUUCCAGUACCGAUGCAUGAUGGACUAUUUAGGAUUACACUGUUAGAUGCGUUCAUGGACUACACAAGAUCUAUUAUACCUGCAGAAUGGAGGCAAAUGGUGUGACUCCAAUGCCCGUGCCAAUUAGCACCGCGUGCUGAGCGCCAAAGAUGUGACUCGACGGUGCUCCAUAUGGGCCAUCAAUAAAAAUCUGUGUGGAGAAUCAGAAA